rnacentral:rRNA from 1 species
GAUGAACGCUGGCGGCGUGCUUAACACAUGCAAGUCGAACGGAAAGGCCGAAGCUUGCUUCGGUACUCGAGUGGCGAUCGGGUGAGUAACACGUGGGUGAUCUGCCCUGUACUUCGGGAUAAGCUUGGGAAACUGGGUCUAAUACCGGAUAUGACGAUCUCUUGGAUGGGGUUGUGGAAAGCUUUUGCGGUAUGGGAUGAGCUCGCGGCCUAUCAGCUUGUUGGUGGGGUAAUGGCCUACCAAGGCGUCGACGGGUAGCCGGCCUGAGAGGGUGUACGGCCACAUUGGGACUGAGAUACGGCCCAGACUCCUACGGGAGGCAGCAGUGGGGAAUAUUGCACAAUGGGCGCAAGCCUGAUGCAGCGACGCCGCGUGGGGGAUGACGGCCUUCGGGUUGUAAACUCCUUUCGCAAUCGACGAAGCCUUUUGGUGACGGUAGGUUGAGAAGAAGCACCGGCUAACUACGUG